CCCAUUUCACCCUCAAUGCUUCAGCUGGGGACUCAAAUGACUUGGUUGAGCUCCAGAGCUCAACAGGGGCCAUAAAAAGCAACAGGAGAAAGGAAGAUUGUGUGCAGCUUUGGAGGUCUUGCAUUAAAUGGGAGUGAUAAUUAAUAUGUGAGGACCUUCCGUGGCUGAAGUUUGUCUAUAACAUGUCAGGUUGUCUCCACCUGAGCUGCUCAUCACAGCUCUGGUUAUGGAGAUAAAAGGUGAGUGACAGUCAUCUAGUUACUUGGGGAGGUCACAUUACCAUCAACAGAGAAAUGUAGGCACUUCUGGAGACUGAUUCAUCUUCUCCUAAUGAGGACUUGAACACAGACCAUAAAUGCUGGUUUCAGAGUCAGCCCAGUUAUCUGACACAUCCAAGUCGAGAUCUUUCCCUUGGAGACAUCGGGAGCUAAGGGGAGACAAAUCCCGACCCCAGAGGUUGCGUUGCAGGAAUUAUACUAGCAAAACUAGCCUUGGCGUGCUGAUGCCAGUGGUUUGCAAAGGGUUUCUGAUUUCUAUUACAGGUUGCAUCCAUCCCGAUAUCUUUGCAGUUGGGGAAAAAAAGUCACACGGAGGAGGGGUAUCCAUCCUCUACCUGAACUUCUGUUACUUGAAAACUUUUCUGGCAUUUGCAUUUUCUAGCAUCUGCCAAACGGCAGCAUCAGACUUCAUGCAUGCGGUUACUGCUAAUCCAGACUUGCUCAUUUGGGACUGGAAAUGAGCUUUUUCAGAGAGAAAGGAAGAGGUGGUGGUGUAUGAGCUGGAGAGGAAUCCAUAAGCUAUCCAGGGAUGCAUAAAUAGCGAAGAAAGGGAGCGACACCUCAACAGAAACAAUGGGCAG